UCAGUGGACCGGAAUCUGGCCAGCGGGUGUACCUGGCUGAGUCUCUGUGGCCGCGGAGGCGCGGAGCUAAGCGGCUCGGAUUAUCCUGGGCAGACCAGAGACUUGACCAGCUAAACACUUCCGUCGGUCCGGGGCGUGGACGGGGCCAGAUCAGCCUCCUGCUCUCCCGAGUCAGGGCCACGGAAAGGCACAAAUCCAUCCGUGCGACUCCUGGUACCCAGACCGGGAGGUUGUCUAGUCACGCGCGGUCUGUGUUGGGCGAGAGCUGAGGAGCCGGCGUCCCUGCCAACGACUCGGCCCCGGGACGGUCAGGAGCCUGGGGCCCUGGUCCCGCACCUGUCUUCGGGCGGACGCAUCCCUCACGGUCUCUCCGCAGCCCGCGGGUCCUGCCCCCGCAGGCAGCGCGCGAACGUGGGCGUGGGGAUGGCCACCAGUUUCCGGACAGCUUCGUGCUGGAUUUGCCAGUUUUUCAGUUGGGCAUAUACAGAAACUCCAUUUCUGAAUUUCCCUGCUGUUCCCUCCCAGCCCCCACUCUUUGCUGUUGCUUAGAAUGCAGAUGUGAUGACUAGAGCCAUCUUAGACUGGGUUGC
rnacentral:lncRNA from 1 species